rnacentral:rRNA from 1 species
UUGAUAACCCAUAAGAGGUCCAGCCUGCCCAGUGACAAAGUUAAACGGCCGCGGUACCCUAACCGUGCAAAGGUAGCGCAAUCACUUGUUCUUUAAAUGAGGACCGGUAUGAACGGCAUCACGAGGGUUAUACUGUCUCCCCACUCAACUCAGUGAAACUGAUCUUCCCGUGAAGAAGCGGGAAUAAAGAUAUAAGACGAGAAGACCCCAUGGAGCUUAAAACUCAGAAUCAACUGCCACAUUUAUAACCUCAUAACCACGCAGCCAUGACCUCUAGUUUUCGGUUGGGGUGACCGCGGAGUAAAACACAACCUCCAUGAUGAAAGGAACUAAUACCCUAAUCUAAGGACGACAGCCCUAAGAAUUAAUACAUUAACCCAAUUGAUCCAAUCACUUGAUCAACGAACCAAGUUACCCUGGGGAUAACAGCGCAAUCCAUUUCAAGAGCUCAUAUCGACAAAUGGGUUUACGACCUCGAUGUUGGAUCAGGAUAUCCCAGUGGCGCAGCCGCUACUAACGGUUCGUUUGUUCAACGAUUAAAAUCCUACGUGAUCUGAGUCAGAC